GUGCUUGCUUUAGCAGCACAUACACUAAAAUUGGAAUGAUACAGAGAAGAUUAGCAUGGCCCCUGCACAAGGAUGACUUGCAAAUACUUGGGUCUCUGUCAGCCACA